CACGGAGUUAGCCGAUGCUUUUUCUCCGGGUACUCUCAGCUGGGUCACACGUGACCCAGCUUGCUCCCCGGCAAAAGAGGUUUACAAUCCAUAGGACCGUCUUCCCUCACGCGACUUGGCUGGUUCAGGCUCGCGCCCAUUGACCAAUAUUCCUCACUCGCUGCCUCCCGUAGGAGUCUGGUCCGUGUCUCAGUACCAGUGUGGGGGACCUUCCUCUCAGAACCCCUACGCAUCGUCGCCUCGGUGGGCCGUUACCCCGCCGACUAGCUAAUGCGCCGCAUGCCCAUCCCUGGCCGGAAUCGCUUCCUUUGAUCCUAACGGGAUGUCCCGUAAGGAUGUUACGCGGUAUUAGACCGGAUUUCUCCGGCUUAUCCCCCAGCCAGGGGCAGGUUGCAUACGUGUUAACUCACCCGUGCGCCGGUCGCCGGCGGAUGAAGCAAGCUUCAUCCCCGCCUGCCCCUCGUACUUGCAUGUGUUAACGUCCUGUCGCUAGCGUUCAUCC
rnacentral:rRNA from 1 species